GUUCCUGGUCGAUCAAGAAACCACAGGGGCGACACCCACACCUUCACAACCCUAAAUUCUACUAAAAUCUCAAAUUGAAGGCUCAAAUCGCGUCGUAAUCGAAAUCUGAACAUAGAAUCGUGAUCUCCUCGUCAAGGAGGUCAUAAGGCAAGGAAUCCGGAACGUAAAGUGGACACGCCGGAAGCGAUACCCGCGGAAAAGGUGUGCUUUAAAGGUAUGUCUGAAGCCCUCCCGGAUGGUGAUCAAGUACAUGUCAAGAACCGAACACGUAUUUUGAAGCUUCCGCACUAAACUCAAUUUUGUCUAAAUUUUAAACAUGUUGUAAUUUCUUUUGUUGAACAAGUUUUAAAUCCCUUAAACUAGUGAUUAGUUUACUAGCAAGGGUUACUUUAAACUAGUUAUGCACUUUUUUGGAUGUGAUUGGAAUUAUCACAA